rnacentral:rRNA from 1 species
UGGGGAAUCUUAGACAAUGGGGGAAACCCUGAUCUAGCCAUGCCGCGUGAGCGAUGAAGGCCUUAGGGUUGUAAAGCUCUUUCAGCUGGGAAGAUAAUGACGGUACCAGCAGAAGAAGCCCCGGCUAACUCCGUGCCAGCAGCCGCGGUAAUACGGAGGGGGCUAGCGUUGUUCGGAAUUACUGGGCGUAAAGCGCACGUAGGCGGAUUAGUCAGUCAGAGGUGAAAUCCCAGGGCUCAACCCUGGAACUGCCUUUGAUACUGCUAGUCUUGAGGUCGAGAGAGGUGAGUGGAAUUCCGAGUGUAGAGGUGAAAUUCGUAGAUAUUCGGAGGAACACCAGUGGCGAAGGCGGCUCACUGGCUCGAUACUGACGCUGAGGUGCGAAAGCGCGGGGAGCAAAACAGGAUUAGAUACCCUGGUAGUCCACGCCGUAAACGAUGAAUGCCAGUCGUCGGGUUGCAUGCAAUUCGGUGACACACCUAACGGAUUAAGCAUUCCGCCUGGGGAGUACGGUCGCAAGAUUAAAACUCAAAUGAAUUGACGGGGUCAUAGCUGUUU